UACAGAGGGGGCAAGCGUUAUUCGGAAUUAUUGGGCGUAAAGGGCGCGUAGGCGGCCUUUCAAGUGACGGGUGAAAGCCCUCGGCUUAACCGAGGAACUGCCUGUCAGACUGGAAGGCUUGAGACCGGGAGAGGUGAGUGGAAUUCCCAGUGUAGCGGUGAAAUGCGUAGAUAUUGGGAGGAACACCAGUGGCGAAGGCGGCUCACUGGACCGGUACUGACGCUGAGGCGCGAAAGCUAGGGGAGCAAACGGG
rnacentral:rRNA from 1 species